GACGUAGGGCGCGAGCGUUGUCCGGAUUUAUUGGGCGUAAAGAGCUCGUAGGCGGUUUGUUGCGUCGGCUGUGAAAUCCCGAGGCUCAACCUCGGGUCUGCAGUCGAUACGAGCAAACUAGAGUGUUGCAGGGGAGACUGGAAUUCCUGGUGUAGCGGUGAAAUGCGCAGAUAUCAGGAGGAACACCGAUGGCGAAGGCAGGUCUCUGGGCAUUAACUGACGCUGAGGAGCGAAAGCAUGGGGAGCGAACAGG
rnacentral:rRNA from 1 species